rnacentral:rRNA from 1 species
UACGUAGGCAGCGAGCGUUGUUCGGAGUUACUGGGCGUAAAGCGUGCGUAGGCGGUGUCUUAAGUUUGUUGUGAAAUCUCCCGGCUUAACCGGGAGGGUGCGGCGAAUACUGAGAUGCUGGAGUGCGGGAGAGGUAAGCGGAAUUCCUGGUGUAGCGGUGAAAUGCGUAGAUAUCAGGAGGAACACCUGCGGUGUAGACGGCUUACUGGACCGUAACUGACGCUGAGGCACGAAAGCGUGGGUAGCAAACAGG